rnacentral:tRNA from 1 species
GAUUCUGUGGCGCAAUGGUAGCACGUCUGACUCCAGAUCAGGAGGUUGCGUGUUCGAAUCACGUCAGGGUCA